CUCACUAGAAAAUCUAUAAGAUAUUCAUUGACGAAGAAAAAACUGCGUAGUAAGAAGUCAUGAUGCCGCGAGUAAAAACACUUGACACGUGAUCUGUAAAUAAAAUGAGCAGAUAAAAAGGUUAAAAUACGCAGUUUAUCGUUCAUUUGGAUUUAGAUUAAGUAAACUACUCAAAUAAUUGUACUCUUGAACGUGUGCACAAGAGUCACAAAAGAUCCCAAAUAAUCAGCUCAAACCUUAUAGGGUUAAUAAAGAGUUCUCAUCUCAAUUUUAAGAUUUUUUUGAACAACCACAAAAGACAGCAAAAUGAAGAUGUUUUGUGUGAAAUGUAAUAAAGAAACCGAAUGCGAUGUGGACCCCACGAUCCCGGAGACUGAUAACCCAAAAAGACAAAAUACAAUACGAGUUUCGGGAACUUGUAAGGAAUGUGGCUCCAAGACCUCCAAAAUUGUCGGUUAACGGAGAGAUUUCUUUAUAUCGGUUCAUAAUUUUAUUCCCCUCUGUAUCAGAGCAUGUUUUACUUUUUAUACGUAUUAAAUAUUAUG